AAAUUGAAGAGUUUGAUCAUGGCUCAGAUUGAACGCUGGCGGCAGGCCUAACACAUGCAAGUCGAACGGUAACAGGAAGCAGCUUGCUGCUUUGCUGACGAGUGGCGGACGGGUGAGUAAUGUCUGGGAAACUGCCUGAUGGAGGGGGAUAACUACUGGAAACGGUAGCUAAUACCGCAUAACGUCGCAAGACCAAAGAGGGGGACCUUCGGGCCUCUUGCCAUCGGAUGUGCCCAGAUGGGAUUAGCUAGUAGGUGGGGUAACGGCUCACCUAGGCGACGAUCCCUAGCUGGUCUGAGAGGAUGACCAGCCACACUGGAACUGAGACACGGUCCAGACUCCUACGGGAGGCAGCAGUGGGGAAUAUUGCACAAUGGGCGCAAGCCUGAUGCAGCCAUGCCGCGUGUAUGAAGAAGGCCUUCGGGUUGUAAAGUACUUUCAGCGGGGAGGAAGGGAGUAAAGUUAAUACCUUUGCUCAUUGACGUUACCCGCAGAAGAAGCACCGGCUAACUCCGUGCCAGCAGCCGCGGUAAUACGGAGGGUGCAAGCGUUAAUCGGAAUUACUGGGCGUAAAGCGCACGCAGGCGGUUUGUUAAGUCAGAUGUGAAAUCCCCGGGCUCAACCUGGGAACUGCAUCUGAUACUGGCAAGCUUGAGUCUCGUAGAGGGGGUAGAAUUCCAGGUGUAGCGGUGAAAUGCGUAGAGAUCUGGAGGAAUACCGGUGGCGAAGGCGGCCCCCUGGACGAAGACUGACGCUCAGGUGCGAAAGCGUGGGGAGCAAACAGGAUUAGAUACCCUGGUAGUCCACGCCGUAAACGAUGUCGACUUGGAGGUUGUGCCCUUGAGGCGUGGCUUCCGGAGCUAACGCGUUAAGUCGACCGCCUGGGGAGUACGGCCGCAAGGUUAAAACUCAAAUGAAUUGACGGGGGCCCGCACAAGCGGUGGAGCAUGUGGUUUAAUUCGAUGCAACGCGAAGAACCUUACCUGGUCUUGACAUCCACGGAAGUUUUCAGAGAUGAGAAUGUGCCUUCGGGAACCGUGAGACAGGUGCUGCAUGGCUGUCGUCAGCUCGUGUUGUGAAAUGUUGGGUUAAGUCCCGCAACGAGCGCAACCCUUAUCCUUUGUUGCCAGCGGUCCGGCCGGGAACUCAAAGGAGACUGCCAGUGAUAAACUGGAGGAAGGUGGGGAUGACGUCAAGUCAUCAUGGCCCUUACGACCAGGGCUACACACGUGCUACAAUGGCGCAUACAAAGAGAAGCGACCUCGCGAGAGCAAGCGGACCUCAUAAAGUGCGUCGUAGUCCGGAUUGGAGUCUGCAACUCGACUCCAUGAAGUCGGAAUCGCUAGUAAUCGUGGAUCAGAAUGCCACGGUGAAUACGUUCCCGGGCCUUGUACACACCGCCCGUCACACCAUGGGAGUGGGUUGCAAAAGAAGUAGGUAGCUUAACCUUCGGGAGGGCGCUUACCACUUUGUGAUUCAUGACUGGGGUGAAGUCGUAACAAGGUAACCGUAGGGGAACCUGCGGUUGGAUCACCUCCUUA
rnacentral:rRNA from 1 species